rnacentral:tRNA from 1 species
GCUUGAAUAGCUUAAAUAAGAGCAUAACGUUGAAGGUGUUAAGGUGGUAAUCUAUCUUCGAGUA